CCCAGUCUCAUCUUCAUACGACAAAUCUUGAAAUAAUGGUUCUAAUGUCUUCGUUUGAGUCACUUGUGAUCCUAUAAUUGUGUAAAAGUUUUCCAUUAUGUUUAAUGAUCUUGCUCCCUCCUCGUAUCAAUUAUGUAGCAUAUGUUCUCAUUAUAUGUUUCUUUGUCUUCUCAUUUUGAUGAUCAAUCAAUUCAAUAAACAAUCUCUCUCUACGUUAAGUAAGAGUGUUACGACAUACCAACGUUCGUUUGAUUAUGUCAUCAAUUGUAACGAUACGGUUUCGCCAAGAUUGUAUCCAUCUGGUCAUAAAACCUCUCUUGUUCGAGUUUUAAGGAAAAAUACCAAAUCUCUUCACUGUGGAUCUAUUUCUAUUCUUUCUUAUUUGUAAAUUUAAAUCGUUAUAAUUUUGGAAUUUCCGCGAUCUAACUUCUUUGAACCAAAUUAGAUCCCGCAGUGUGGCGGGUCUUUUGAACAUAUAGAUCCCAUGAUACAAGUUACCUCUAGGGGUGUCGAACAAGAGACUUUCGAGGAGUUAAAGGGAACCUAACCACAAAGAAUUUAUAAAAUCUGUUUCCCUUAAAUCUAUUUAUUUAUUAUGAUUCCUAAAGCUUUUGCUUGCUCAACUUUAGUUCCGGGCCAGGCCUAGAUACAACCAUAGUGAAAUCAUAUCACUAAAAUUGAUGAUGAAAUCAAACAAACGUUAGUAAGUCAUUACACUCUUGAGACACUUACUUUUGAGAA
rnacentral:lncRNA from 1 species